UGGGGAAUAUUGGACAAUGGGCGCAAGCCUGAUCCAGCCAUGCCGCGUGAGUGAUGAAGGCCCUAGGGUUGUAAAGCUCUUUCACCGGUGAAGAUAAUGACGGUAACCGGAGAAGAAGCCCCGGCUAACUUCGUGCCAGCAGCCGCGGUAAUACGAAGGGGGCUAGCGUUGUUCGGAUUUACUGGGCGUAAAGCGCACGUAGGCGGACUUUUAAGUCAGGGGCGAAAUCCCGGGGCUCAACCCCGGAACUGCCUUUGAUACUGGAAGUCUUGAGUAUGGUAGAGGUGAGUGGAAUUCCGAGUGUAGAGGUGAAAUUCGUAGAUAUUCGGAGGAACACCAGUGGCGAAGGCGGCUCACUGGACCAUUACUGACGCUGAGGUGCGAAAGCGUGGGGAGCAAACAGG
rnacentral:rRNA from 1 species